rnacentral:rRNA from 1 species
UACGUAGGGUGCAAGCGUUGUCGGGAAUUAUUGGGCGUAAAGGGCUCGUAGGCGGUCCGUCACGUCGGGAGUGAAAACUUGGGGCUUAACCCCAAGCCUGCUUCCGAUACGGGCGGACUAGAGGUAGGCAGGGGAGAACGGAAUUCCUGGUGUAGCGGUGAAAUGCGCAGAUAUCAGGAGGAACACCGGUGGCGAAGGCGGUUCUCUGGGCCUUACCUGACGCUGAGGAGCGAAAGCGUGGGGAGCGAACAGG